AUUGAACGCUGGCGGCAUGCUUUACACAUGCAAGUCGAACGGUAACAGGCCGCAAGGUGCUGACGAGUGGCGAACGGGUGAGUAAUGCAUCGGAACGUGCCCAGUCGUGGGGGAUAACGCAGCGAAAGCUGCGCUAAUACCGCAUACGAUCUAUGGAUGAAAGCGGGGGACCGUAAGGCCUCGCGCGAUUGGAGCGGCCGAUGUCAGAUUAGGUAGUUGGUGGGGUAAAGGCCCACCAAGCCGACGAUCUGUAGCUGGUCUGAGAGGGCGACCAGCCACACUGGGACUGAGACACGGCCCAGACUCCUACGGGUGGCAGCAGUGGGGAAUUUUGGACAAUGGGGGCAACCCUGAUCCAGCAAUGCCGCGUGCAGGAAGAAGGCCUUCGGGUUGUAAACUGCCUUUGUACGGAACGAAACGGCUCUGGUUAAUACCUGGGGCUAAUGACGGUACCGUAAGAAUAAGCACCGGCUAACUACGUGCCAGCCGCCGCCGUAA
rnacentral:rRNA from 1 species